GGCAUUCCGAAUCAAGGCUCUUAUGAGGGACCCAGGCAUUCCGAAUCAAGGCUCUUAUGAGGGACCCAGGCAUUCCGAAUCAAGGCUCUUAUGAGGGACCCAGGCAUUCCGAAUUAAGGCUCUUAUGAGGGACCCAGGCAUUCCGAAUUAAGGCUCUUAUGAGGGACCCAGGCAUUCCGAAUCAAGGCUCUUAUGAGGGACCCAGGCAUUCCGAAUCAAGGCUCUAAUGAGGGACCCAGGCAUUCCGAAUCAAGGCUCUUAUGAGGGACCCAGGCAUUCCGAAUUAAGGCUCUUAUGAGGGACCCAGGCAUUCCGAAUUAAGGCUCUUAUGAGGGACCCAGGCAUUCCGAAUCAAGGCUCUUAUGAGGGACCCAGGCAUUCCGAAUCAAGGCUCUUAUGAGGUCGGAUAUUGAUUGAAGUAUUGAACAAGUAUGUAUCUGGAUCCUUGACAGUGCUCAGACUUACAGGCCCUAAACUUAAACUUAAAGUAACCUAUGGAUACUUAUAAAUCACUCCGCAGGACAUAUAUACGUGUACAUAUAUAUAUUAAAAAAUAAAAAUAAAUAAAAAAUCACCAACCUUGGAAUAAAGACACCUCUCUUACGAAAGUUGAUAUCUUCUUCUAUUGUGGUCGUUUAUAUCACUUGUGCCCUCGGCCUGUCUGUCACCUUUGUCGUAAAAAAAGAAAAAGGCAGUUCAAGGAGGAAGACUCAAAACGCUUCUCUUACUAAAAUGCAUCACUCUCUCGGCAUCUUAUUCUGCAUUAUUAUUCAGAGAAGUAUUUCGCAAACUUAUAAUAUCAGUUUUUCCCUCGGCCUGUCUGUCCACUUUGUCGUAAAAAAAGAAAAAGGCAGUUCAAGGAGGAAGACUCAAAACACAUACUAUAAUGCAUCAUUCUCUCGGCAUCUUAUUCUGCAUUAUUAUUUGGAGAAGUAUUUUGCAAACUUAUAAUAUCACAGUUUUUCCCUCGGCCUGUCUGCCCACUGUCGUAAAAAAAGAAAAAGGCAGUUCAAGGAGGAAGACUCAAAACAAUUCUCUUACUAAAAUGCAUCACUCUCUCGGCAUCUUAUUCUGAAUUAUUUUGAGAGAAGAAGUAUUUCGCAAACUUAUAAUAUCACAGUUUUUCCCUCGGCCUGUCUGUCCCCGUAAACACUUUUUAUUCUGUAUUAUUAUUUAGAGAAGUAUUUCGCAAACUUAUAAUAUCACAGUUUUUCCCUCGGCCUGUCUGUCCCCGUAAACACUUUUUAUUCUGUAUUAUUAUUUAGAGAAGUAUUUCGCAAACUUAUAAUAUCACAGUUUUUCCCUCGGCCUGUCUGUCCCCGUAAACACUUUUUAUUCUGUAUUAUUAUUUAGAGAAGUAUUUCGCAAACUUAUAUUAUGACAGUUCUUCCCUCUGUCUGGCUCCUUUCCCGUAUAAGAAGAAAUCAGGCUGUUCGUAUGCAACUACCGAAAAGACUAACAGAAAGAACGACGUUGUUUGUGUGAUUUAAGAUGCGUUCGUCAAAUCAUUUAUUCAGCGAGAGGUAAAAGCGUCGCCUUGGGAAUUGUUAAAGCGCUUCACUGUCUUUACUUCAGCCAGCAAAUAGUGACGAAACGCCUCCUUUGUCUGCAGAGAGCCACGCGAAACAAGCCUCUGGAAUUGAAUCAAGAUAUCUCACCAGCAAUUUCUGUCUCGCUUCAUAAGAACAGAAUAUGGCGGGCACUUUUUUUCUUGUGUGUGUGUGUGUGUGUGUGUGUGUGUGUGUGUGUGUGUGUGUGUGUGUGUGUGUGUGUGUGUGUGUGUGUGUGUGUGUGUGUGUGUGUGUGUGUGUGUGUGUGUGUGUGUGUGUGUGUCAUAAAAACAUAAUAUUGCGGGUAUUUUUUCCUUGUGUGUGUGUGUGUGUGUGUGUGUGUGUGUGUGUGUCAUAAGAACAUAAUAUUGCGGGUAUUUUUUCCUUGUGUGUGUGUGUGUGUGUGUGUGUGUGUGUGUGUGUGUGUGUGUGUGUGUGUGUGUGUGUGUGUGUGUGUGUGUGUCAUAAGAACAGAAUAUUGCGUGUAUUUUUUCAUUGUGUGUGUGUGUGUGUGUGUGUGUGUGUGUGUGUGUGUGUGUGUGUGUGUGUGUGUGUGUGUGUGUGUGUGUGUGUUAUUUACCCCAUGAUGUCUCCCUGCCUGAAAGGAUUAAGAGCAAAUCGAUUUCUCUUUUUGGCUACUCUACUCUAUUCAGGAGCAGUAAGUAACGGGCAAUUUUUUUUCAAUAUUGUUUUCUUUCUUUUUUUACGCCCUUGCACUGUCUCGUCAGCUGUAAAAAAAAUAAUAAAAAAAUAAAUAAAUCAAGACCGGUGUCUGGCUACGAUUAUAUAUUCUAGGAAAGCUUUUACAAUCGAUACACUAUGGUCGGUUCACGAGAGCUGGUCAUUGCUUGGGUGACAGUCUCUGCGUCGCGCAUUGCCUGUCGUUUACUAGACCUAACCUCCCGUGACAAAGCCUACAAUCUCUCGCUCUCUGCUACCUCUUUAACCCGUCCGCUGCGAUUGGCACGGAUUCGACUUUCACUGGUAGCCUGGUAACAUAUAGUCCCAGAUCCUUCUCUGCCUCUGUGGUGGAUAGUGGAGUGUUUCCCAUGUGGUAUUGGUGUGCUCUAUAUGCUCUCUCAUGAUGCAGGACUUAACAUUUUUCCUCAUUGUAUUGUAGCAGCCACUUUUUGUUCCAUUCCUGUAGCUUGGUGAUGUCUUCUUGUAGGAAAUCCGCGGUCAAGGGGUUAAAUCAAUACCAUGGCCCAAGCAAUGAUUCUAAGGGCUGUAUUUUAAGACACCAUCGCUUUUCACAUCAACUAUUUCUAAAGGUCAAAGAGGGGAUCAAUCGGGUUUUCAUAAGCGUUUUUUAAGGUUCAUGGCACAGAAGAAGGGUCAAACUACCACCAGGGUCAUAAAACUACCCCUGGAAAGGCCUGCAGCUCCUACGAAAGCCAUGUCAAAUAUGUGAACUUGGGCGACGAAAUGUUUUAAAAUACGACCCUGAAGGAUUUGCUCUCGUGGAACCGAUUAUAGCGCAUGGUAAACCGCAAAUCGUGGCUGGGCCGGCUGACUGGCUCCUCCUCGCUGCAGUCCUGCGGUGCCCUUGACUGUGUUGCGUAAGCGAUAUCCUCGACAGGGGGCAAUAAAAUCGUAAACUGCAGCGCCGGCUAAGUUAUACGAAGAGAAGCAAUGUUGUGUUUGUAUUCAAGGGUUUAGAAAGGAGUAGGAAAUAAUUCAAGAAGGAAAAUUAAGAGGUUUACGGUGAAGAGAAGGAAUGUUGUGUUUGUAUUCAAGGGUUUAGAAAGGAGUAGGAAAUAAUUCAAGAAGGAAAAUUAAGAGGUUUACGGUGAAGAGAAGGAAUGUUGUGUUUGUAUUCAAGGGUUUAGAAAGGAGAAGGAAAUAAUUCAAGAAAGAAAAUGAAAGAGGUUUACGGUGAAGAGAAGGAAUGUUGUGUUUGUAUUCAAGGGUUUAGAAAGGAGUAGGAAAUAAUUCAAGAAGGAAAAUUAAGAGGUUUACGGUGAAGAGACGGAAUGUUGUGAUUUUAUUCCGCAGGGAUUUAGGAAGCCGUGAGAAGUAAAGACACGAAGGAACUAAGCUAUAGGACCAUGCAUAUGUGGGUGACUCGAUGGGGAGGAGUGCGCAGGAGGGAAAGAACGCUGUUUUCUAAUUCGCUAUAAACUUAAGGAGUGGGAGGUAAAGGAAGGAGGACUUUUACGAUUCAGAUCAUGCACAUAUAAACGAGAUAAUGGAUGCAGGCAAGGAACUAAGAUGACGAUGAUAAGAGGAAAUGUUGUGUUUGUAUUCAUUAGGGAUGUACAUACGAAGAGAGUGGGAGCUAAGUAAAGAACGGAAGGAAUUUAAGAGGUAGACCAGAGACACGCCAGUCCUCGUCGACACACCGACUUGGUAGAUAAUGCAAAUAUACAUGAAGGAGGGAAAUUCAGUAGAUCACGCAUGGAAGGAGGAGAGGGACUGAGGUUACAAUGACGUAAAGAAGAAUGUUGUGUUUGUAGGGAUUAGAGGAAGAGUGGGAAGUAAAGAAUGGAGGGAAAUUCAGUAGAUCACGCAUGGAAGGAGGAGACAGUCUGAGGUUACAAUGACGUAAAGAAGAAUGUUGUGUUUGUAGGGAUUAGAGGAAGAGUGGGAAGUAAAGAAUGGAAGGAAAUUCAGUAGAUCACGCAUGGACGGAGGAGACAGUCUGAGGUUACAAUGUCGUAAAAAAGAAUGCCGUGUUCGUCUCCGGCAAUAAGAAGUAAAUAAAAAAUAUAAGAACCAAAACAACAUACAUAAUCAGUUCACUUGAGGACUGGGGCUGAUGGGAAGGGGACUACAAAGAGCAGAUCCCCGCAUUAGAAUCUAGCCUGUCUCUUAACCCCCCUAACCUCAAGCAUGGCAUUAGGGGGGUAACUAUCCUUGAGUAUCCUUGAACCCUGCCUACCUGCCUGCUGGCCUCCCUGCCCGCCCCUCAGGAAACAAGACAGACAGCCUGGCCACUCCGUCCCCCAGGUGACGCCUUCCCCUACUAAGCAGUGGGCUCAAACUUUCCUCGUUCAGGGGGUAAGACCUUGAACCCUGUGAACCUGCCCCCCCUGGAAUAUAUAAUGGUAGCUAGCCUGGGCCUCCUGCCAUACGUCGGGGUCAACAGGCGGGAUGAGAGGAAGGAUGGAAGGGAAGAGAGAGGGAGUGAAUGAAUGAUUAUAUAAGGGAAGGCAUGAAGGAAAGAAAGAAUGAAAGGGAAGGAAGGAUAGAAGGAGAAAUGAAAGAAAGGAGGAAUGAAAUAAAGAAAGGAGGGGAGGAAGGAAGGAAAGAAGGAAGGGAGGAAAGAAAGAAUGAAGGGAAGGAAGGAUAGAAGGAGGAAUGAAAGAAAGAAAGGAGGGGAGGAAGGAAGGAAGGGAGGGAAGAAGGAGAGAAAGAUAAAGAUGUGGGAAUGAAGAGGGGAUGAAAAGGAGGAAUAAGAAGAGAAAGAAGGGAAGGCAAAAAAAAGAAAAGGAAGAUUGGAAGGGAAUGAAGUAGAGAGAAAAUGAAUGAAUGAAUGAAAGGAGGAGGAAGAGGGGAAGGAGGAAAGAGAGGAAGGAAGAAAGAAGGAAAUAAGGAGGGUAUGAAUAAAGAACACACACACACACACACACACACACACACACACACACACACACACACACACACACACACACACACACACACACACA